GGAAAAGUUACUUUCGGUUUGGACGACGAAGGCCAAGAGGAAGACCUACAAUUAAGAAGCAGUGCGGAUUAUCGACGACUUAAUGAAUGUCAAUGACUGCUGAUUCUAUCAUGGCUACUUCUGCUUCAGGAGUGGACGGUUGUCAUGAGAGAUCCCAAAGAGAGACACAUGACUUUUAUGAACUUUUGAAGGAACACACAGAGGAGUUAACAAAGCUGCAGACUACAGAGAAUGGAGGUGAGAGAAAGGAAAUAACAGAUACUUUGUGUACCCAUGUGGAGCCAUUUAAAAAAUACUUGGAAGUGAUGAC